rnacentral:tRNA from 1 species
GCAGCUGUGGUGGAACGGCAGACACGCAAGUUUCAGAAGCUUGUCUCCGCAAGGGGGGUAUCAGUUCAAAUCUGAUCAGCUGCACCA